CCCAGGUUUGCCUCCCCAGCUGCAUGUGGCACACACGAGGCAUGGUUAGAUGAUCUAUUUUCUAUGUAUGUUUGUAGCCAGUUGUUCAGCUCCACUGUGAUAAAAUCAUGAAUCAUUGUUACUGGAUCUCAGUGAAGCAAAUAUGAUGAGGCAGGAAAAAUUUCUCAGAACACAUACCCCAGAGAGACUACAAAUGAACCAUUGCGUUAUUGUCUUUUUUCAAAUCAUGAGAUCAUUCUGAUUCUUUCACACUUUUUCAUGACACACACUCUUUCAUUCCCCAACUUAUACACACCCCAAGUUCGGUCCUUGUCUUCCUACCCAAACUCUUAACUCAGGACAAACUUUGACUCAAAUGCAGACCCUAAUGUGUGAUACCUAGCCCAUCUAGCCAGUAAGGUGAGGGCCAGAGCUGGCUACAAAAAGACAAUCUUAAUGAAUCCUCUGCUGAAUAGGAAAUGUGCUCUGUUUGUGAAGCUAAUUAACUGAAUUCAUUUAAUUGAAAGAUGGUGCGAGAAUUCUGUUUUCUUUCAGAAAAGGCUGAAGGAAUUGAAGAGAAAAAUCCUCACCCAAUAGCAUGCCCCUGACUAUAUGUCACUGGGAAGUCACAGCAAAUGCUCUGAAGGCAUCCCUCCACAGAAGAAAGGCAAAAGGGAAAUAACACAAAGUGUAUCAUCCAGUGAAGAAUAACAUUUGUUUGAAGAGUUCAUUAGUUCAAUUUAAGACAGAGAAGAAUAGAAACUGCAGCCAACAUCUAGCCAAUAUUUAUUUACUCCACAACAGGCCAUCGGACUACAUCUUGAGUUAUCGGACUACAUCUUGAGUUAGGACAAUUCAAUAAAAAAGUUACCUUCCAUAUGUCCAUUUAAAAGAGACAGUUUAGAUUUAGGAAUUUAAACACCUUCUUCAAAUGGACAUAGUAGCAAAUGCUCAUAUUAUCUGAACUCAAGUCAGAAUUUGUCCAAGGCUGUUUUCCUCCAGAUAAGCUUUUAUUAUUUUGUAAAAACGAGGGCACUCCAAGGGGCAGUCUACAGAUUCAACACUAUUCCUAUCAAACUACCGAUGUCAUUGUUCACAGAAUUGGAAG
rnacentral:lncRNA from 10 species